rnacentral:rRNA from 1 species
ACUCCUGCGGGAGGCAGCAGUGGGGAAUAUUGGACAAUGGGCGCAAGCCUGAUCCAGCCAUGCCGCGUGAGUGAUGAAGGCCCUAGGGUUGUAAAGCUCUUUCACCGGUGAAGAUAAUGACGGUAACCGGAGAAGAAGCCCCGGCUAACUUCGUGCCAGCAGCCGCGGUAAUACGAAGGGGGCUAGCGUUGUUCGGAUUUACUGGGCGUAAAGCGCACGUAGGCGGACUAUUAAGUCAGGGGUGAAAUCCCGGGGCUCAACCCCGGAACUGCCUUUGAUACUGGUAGUCUUGAGUUCGAGAGAGGUGAGUGGAAUUCCGAGUGUAGAGGUGAAAUUCGUAGAUAUUCGGAGGAACACCAGUGGCGAAGGCGGCUCACUGGCUCGAUACUGACGCUGAGGUGCGAAAGCGUGGGGAGCAAACAGGAUUAGAAACCCGGGUAGUCC